GUCAACACCGUUGGUGAGUUCAUUGACUUCCCUAUCCAGAUUAGUGAUAGUGACUCUGACUCAGUCACUAGUCCUGCAACGCAUAUAGACUCCAGUUCGACUAGUUCUGACUCCAGUCUUUCUUCAGCUUCCUUGCCUUUGCAGGAUCCAAGGGGACCAGUGGGUGUCAACACCAACAAGAAACCAUCUUCUCAGACUACUCCUCUGUCAACU
rnacentral:lncRNA from 1 species